GUUUCAUGCUUUGAGGGGGCUGCACAAAACAUGCAUACCGAAGAAAGGCAGCAAGAGGGAACUAAACAGAAAACCAAUCAAGUUGAAUAAUCUCGAUAUAAUAGAUAAAUUAUUAUUUUUGUACUUACCGAGAUCUGCAUUCUUUCUUGAUAUAGAUUCUGAGUAAAGACAGUUUAAAGAGUUAGGGUUUUUUUUUUUCCCGCUUCACUGGGAAAGACUUUAUCUGGACUUCAUUUUUACACAUACCAUGAAAGCCAAUUGAGAAAAUAAUGAAGAAAUGCAAGGAAGGCAGGGAUUUCAACCUGGGCAACAAGUCCACAGAACAUGAGAUUUCUGAAGGUGUGUGGGAUACAUCAUGGUUACAUAAAAAUCCUUUCACUAUAGUUCCUGCUUCCCUAUCUUCAAAAUGAUUCCCUGAAGACUUCCGCCAUGACGGUCUAAAGCCUAACCUCUGAACUGUGGAUGGAAAAUUGAACUCCUUGAUGUGAUCUCUGCACAUCAUGCAACCCUAAACCUAAAUAUAUUCUCUGUGUGGGA
rnacentral:lncRNA from 1 species